rnacentral:tRNA from 1 species
GGGUGCAUAGCUCAGUGGUUAGAGCAUCUGCCUUACAAGCAGAGGGUCAUAGGUUCAAAUCCUAUUGCACCCA